AUUUACUUGCGACACUGACAAUAACGCGUCAUCGUCAUCAGUCGCAGUUGCAGUCUCGCACACAAACAUUAUUGUUUUGUGAGGUUCUUCUAUUGAGAUAAAUAGUACCUACGUACCUAGGUACCUACUUUUAUCAUUUUAGGUGUAUUCAUAAUAUCACCUGCAGUGAGCGAACGGAACGCGCAAAGCAGGCGCGGGCGGGGGGCGAGCAGAACAGGGGAAACGAUACACGUGGAGGCCUACCGCGGUUUCGCCGCGCGUGUGAACUCUCGUCUCGACAUCAGUGCGCGUGCGUAGCUUCGGUCUUCCUCCCCUCACCACACCGCGCAUUUCCCCGCUUUGCUUCUGAAUCUGUCUACUAUACACGGUUCACACUGUCUAGGCCAACCUACCAUUAACUAUGAUAGAUAUACGACCAAAAAUACCUUCUAUGCAAUCGUGGUGCGAGUUUAAAGGAAAAAGGAAGGAUUUAGUGGAUUAUCCUGAAAAUAAUAACACUAUUUUAGGUUAUGUUCUGCAUUAUUUGGUCAACUGUGGUCAUAAACUUGAUUUUGACUGAAGAUCUUAUCUGUAUGAACAUUUUAAUAAGUCUUCACGUGUGAAGUGUUCCGAGCUUCUUUUCGACCGUUUACUGGAUCGAAAAUUUUACAGCGUGAGGCGAAUCCCAUAGUUUUCGAAGUUUUUUUAUCUUAUAGAAAACGAUUUUUCCCAAUAUAUCGGCACCCGAAUAUGUUACAUUGUUGUAUAUUUUCACAAAUGAAUGCUUACAUUUUGAAAGGAUUAAAAGUACUCUAAAUUAAACGUUUUAAUCGACAUAGCAAAAGCUUUCGUGUACCUAACAUACAGUGCUGUACUCUGGCGGGAUAAAUGUGCAGUCCUACUCCCUAUUUAUCUUACUUGGGUGAAUUUCAUGGCUCUUUGAACGCGGCGUGUAGCGUUUCUUUAGUGUCGCAUUUUUUUUAAGAUUUAUUUUUUAAAUUAUACGCUUACCAUUAUUGUUUCUUACAAUGUUUUUUUCUAAUAAUAUAUAAAAGUACAUAAUGUACACAAUUAACUUACAUGGAAAUAUAUGAGAAACGAGAUGACCAGUUCCCUCUGGCAGUACCCGUUCACGAGUUGACGCAUGGGACAGCCAUCGCGUAGCUCAACCAUAAUAGAGGGAACCUUACGACCCGGCCCACGACGCCACUACCAGAUUGACUAUUUGAGUGAGCAUGACACACUCGAUUCCCAUGACUUCAUAAUUACAAAUCUUAUUUGUUGAAAUAGAAGUAUAAUUCAGACACUUGAAAAUCACAAAUCAUGUACAUGUGUUAUAAAUAAAAUUUUAAUGGUACAAUAUAUGAAUUAUUAUAAUAUAAAAAAUAAAAUAAAAAACAGUAAAAUAAAAAAUAGGAUAUUUUAAGUGUGGAGUGGCAAAGUUGUCGGGAGGAUCCAUGCAUUUUUAUCAAUCAAAUAGGUGUUAAUUGUGUAAUAUGCUUUAUCCAUUAAUUUUUUCUUAACAUAAGUAAUUUUUUCAUUGGCAGAUUAAUAGCCUCUGCAGGGAGUUUAUUGAAUAAUUUUACAUUUUGACCCACAAAAGACCGUCGAACCUUUUUAAGCCUGAAUCUGUUCAUACAAAGUAUGUGCGUAUUUCGAGUGUUUACACUAUUUACUUUUUUUAAUUUUUUAUAAGUAUAUAGAUGUAAAUUUGAUUUGACAAAAAUAAGCACAUCAAAGAUAUACUGAGAUACAACAGUGAGGAUGUUAAUUGAUUUGAAGAGAAUCUCGAGGUUUUAAUCCGUAAAUAAAAUUAAUAGCUCUUUUCUGUAAUACAAUUUUUUUCCUAUCUCAGCUGCAUUACCCCAAACUAAUAGUCCGUAGGACAUAAUGCUAUGAAACUAGUCUUACUUUCAAGUAGGUAAUGGAUUGGAAAGAAGAUUCGUAGCCAAAUCCAUUCUAGCUGCGCAUUGUAAACAUAGAAGUCAAAUUUAAAUUAGGUUAGGCAAAGUACUUAAAUUGGUAUAGGUACAUACAUAGUAACGUACCUAUACAUAUGAAACGUAUUUCAUUUUUAAUAUUUCAAAUUCGUUGUCUCUCAAUAUUGAUUACUUAGGUAGUACCUACCUACCUAUAGCAAUCAGACUUUCAGCUUCGAACUUGCUUUUUGUGGUUUUUUUUUUCAUUACUCGUCUAGGAAAUUAUUUGUAAUUUUGUCUGCGCCAUUCAUGGAUUUAGUACUUCGUUGGCGCCUUUAUAAUAAGUACCUACCAUGACAUAAACAAGGUAGGUACUUACAAAGUUGUUGGUUUGGCAACUAGGGAAACGAAAAAAUAGGAAAGCAGUCCCUAGGCUCUGACGCUCCACGGCUGAAGAAACCGGGAAAAAUAUAUUCUUAGGUAUCAAAAUUUGUGUUAAUGUUACGUAGCGCAG